rnacentral:lncRNA from 1 species
AACUCUUUUUCCAUCACUAAGACACCGCUUGCUGCUUGGUAUUGCGAUGAGAUUGCAGGCCUUAAAUCUUAUCCCAAGACAAAUUCAUGGAAGGAGGGUACAGAUUGCUGCUCAUGGGAUGGGGUCACUUGUGACCACCUAAAUGCUCAUGUUAUUGCCCUCGACUUGAGCUGCAGUUGGCUAUAUGGUAACUUCCCUUCCAAUACCACUCUCGUCCUUCUUCCUCACCUUCAAAAACUCAACCUUGCUUACAAUGAUUUCAAUGAUUCCAAAAUUCCAUUUGAAUUUGGUCAGUUUACAAGCCUAUACUACCUCAACCUUUCCAGUGCAGGAUUUGUAGAAGUCCCAUCCCAAGUCUCCCACCUGUCAAAAUUGGUUUCACUUGAUCUCUCUUUCAAUUUUUUCCAACCAAUUGAUAAACAUGCUGUGGAGGGACUUGUUCACAACCUAACCGAGAUCAGACAUCUGUUUUUGGAUGGAAUCAAUAUGUCUUCUAUUAAUCCUCAUGUCUUCAUGAAUCUAUCCUCUUCUCUAAGGUCUCUCAGUCUUGCUGGUUGUGAUUUGCAAGGAAAAUUCCCAAAAAACAUUUUUGAUUUGCCAAACCUCAAUUUCCUCAACUUGGGAGGCAACCAAAACCUCAAUCUUGAUCUUUUGAAGUUCAAUCGGAGUAGCAAUCUUGAACAUUUGGAUCUGUCGUCCAUGUCCUUCUCUGCAGGAUUGAUUGAUUCAGUUGAUAAUCUAAAGGCCUUAAAGUACUUAGAUCUAUCAGGAAAUUCUUUCUUUCAGGGAUUGUCUGUCUCAAUCACAAAUUUAUCAUCUUUGGAGUACUUGAUUAUUAGAGGCGCAAAUUUAUUUGCAGGAUUGCCUGACUCAAUAGGGAAUCUUGUGUCCUUAAAGUUUUUAGAUUUUGUCCAUUCUGACUUAUCAGGAUCGGUUCCAAGAUCAUUGGGAAAUCUCUUUCAACUCACUCAUUUAGACUUUUCGAUGAACCAAUUGAGUGGACAAAUUCCAAGAUCAUUUGGGAACCUCUUGCAACUCACUCAUUUAGACUUGUCAUGGAACCAAUUGAGUGGACAAAUUCCAAGAUCACUGGGAAACCUCUUGCAACUCACUCAUUUAGACCUGUCAGGCAACCAAUUGAGUGGACAAAUUCCAUUGUCAAUUCUAAACCUAACGCAGCUUGAAUACUUGAGAAUAACUCAAAAUUUAUUAGAAGGUUCCAUUCCGGAUGAGGUAACAGCUUUUCCUAAUCUAAUAUCUUUAAUGUUAAUUGACAAUUUACUCAAUGGAACACUUCCGUCAUGGUUGUAUACUGCUCCCUCCUUAAAGGAAAUAUAUCUCUCUGAAAAUCAAUUCAGUGGCCAUAUCAAAGAAUUCCAAUCCAAAUCACUAGAAUUGAUAGCGUUAGGGAAUAAUAAACUCCAAGGUCCUCUUCCAUCUUCAAUAUUCCAACUUCUCAAUCUUACUCAGCUCAGCUUAUCCUCAAAUAAUCUUAGUGGUGUCAUAGAGUUUAGCAUGUUCUCAAACCUUCCAAAUCUCAAACAUCUCGACCUUUCAUAUAUCAGCCUAUCCUUAACAUCUAAUACUACCUCUAGUGUUAACCAUAUAUUGCCUAAUCUUACAGACUUACUUUUGUCAUCUUGCAAUCUUAGUGAAUUCCCCCGAUUUUUAAAAGGGCUUAAAAGUUUGGUAAGGUUAGACAUUUCUUGCAACAAAAUUGAAGGCAAGAUUCCGCAAUGGAUGCAAAAGGUGGGGAAUGACUCUUUGUGGUAUUUAAAUGUAUCUCAUAACUCUUUGACAGAAGUUGGGCACUUUCCAUGGAAGAAUAUUGAAGUUCUUGACUUAAGCUCCAAUUUGAUCCGUGGAAAUCUUCCGAUUCCAGCUUCGACAAUCAAAGUCUUUCUGAUCUCAAAUAAUAGUUUCAAUGGAGAGGUCUCUUCUUUAAUAUGCAAUGCCAGUUCUCUUCGAAUUGUUGAUUUGUCUCACAAUAACUUGAGUGGAACAAUUCCGCAGUGUUUUGGAAAUUUGAGCAACACCCUUGAAUUCUUGAAUCUGAAGAAGAACAAGUUCUAUGGGACGAUUCCUCCAACAUUUGCAAAGGGAUGCCAAUUGAGUAAUUUCAACUUAAACGGAAAUCUGUUAGAAGGGCCUUUGACACUAUCCAUCCUUAACUGUAGGGGUCUAGAAGUGCUAGAUCUUGGUAACAACAAGAUCAAUAAUACAUUUCCUCAUUGGUUGGGAAGUCUUCCACAGCUACAAAUUCUUGUACUAAAGUCAAAUCAAAUGCAUGGUUCCUUGUGUGUCAAUAGCUCAAGGUCUAGCCCUUUUUUCCCUAAAAUCCAAAUUUUUGACCUUUCAAGUAAUUAUUUUUCUGGACCGCUACCUGCGAGAUACAUCGACAGCUUCAAGGCUAUCAUAAAUCUCACGAAAGAUGCAAGUACGAUGACAUACAUGGGUGUGCAGGAUGCUAAUGCUAGUAUUGGCAUUUAUAGCUAUUCCGUUGGAAUUGUCGUGAAAGGACAAGAUAUAACAUUGAAUAAAAUUUUCGUCAUGUGGGCGAUCAUUGAUCUCUCAAAUAAUAAGUUUGAUGGAGAGAUUCCCAAGGUUAUUGGAAAGCUUAGAUCACUCAAAGGGCUAAACCUUUCUCAUAAUAACCUUAGUGGUUACAUUCCCUCAUCAAUAGGGAGUUUGACCAGCCUUGAAUGGCUAGACCUCUCUUCAAACAAGCUGGUUGGAAGGAUUCCAAGGGAACUGCUCAAUUUGACAGCUCUUUCCACGUUAAACCUUUCAAUGAAUGAAUUGAUUGGGUGCAUCCCUCAUGGAAAACAAUUCAAUACCUUUGGAAAUACUUCCUAUGAAGGGAACAAAGGAUUACAUGGUUUUCCAUUGUCAAGUGAUUGCAACAAUAAUGAGCUACCACCACCCUCAAACUUAUUAGAAGAAGGUGGAUCAAAAUCAAAAAUUGGUUUUGGGUGGAAAGUAGUUUUGUUGGGUUAUGGAUGUGGAGUGGUGUUAGGAUUGGGCGUGGGAUAUGUAGUUUUCCAAACUGGUAAGCCAAAGUGGAUUGUGAGUUUGGUUGAAGAUCAUAUUGAGAAGAGGCGGAGAAGAAAGCCAAUGACCGGGGAUCGCAACAAUGGAAGGAGGAGGAUCUAGGCAGAGCAAAUGAUGUUCAAGCAUUUCUGUUGUAUUUUCAUAUAUAUAUAUAUAUUUAUGGUGUGUCUAAUGUUCUGUCUUGACCAGUUUAGCUAUAUGUCUUCAUCUUUAGUAUGGUAUUUCAAUAACAUGUGAGGAUCUAUUCUCAAUGUUAAACUCUUACAUAGUUGCAGCUGUUUAUGUCUUCUUGAAUGACUUCAAUUGGUUUCUUUUUAAGACACCUUUUCAUGAAUGUUUUGAAAAUUGGUUUGAUGGUCCUCAAUUCAAACACUUCAAUCAUAAUUAAAUAAACAAUUAAAAUUCAUAAACAUGAUUAAAAUGUAAAUUUAUUAAAAAUUUAUAAACCAGCAACUCCAACCAGUAAAUUUUAUAAUCUUGGUCUUUCUCAUUAUUGAACAUCCUCACCUACUAAACUAAAAUUUAACUUCACCAACCAAUUAUCCAAAAUAAGAAAAUAAAGGAGGUGUAUAAAGAAACCAAAUAGAAAACUCAAUAUUUGAUUUUGAUGCAAAUAAGACUAAUUUGUCAAUGGAAUUUUUUGAGUCUUUAUAUAGAAUCAAACUACAAAGUUAGACUAAUUUGUCAGUGGAAGAACAAUUGCUGGUGAGCCGUCUUCCUUCUCUUGUUUCUGGUUUUCCAUUAUUGACCGCCUAUCUUUUGUUUUGUUCUUAUAAUUUUAUCUCGUAUUUUCAGGAAUAUACUGAACCGACUUCGGAUAUGCCUCUUCCCGAUUUGCAUCCUCUAGAACGGCAUGUUUUCACUCUUGUCCUACAUCUGAACGAGACAUUACUUUAUACACACUGGAAGGUAGGAAUUUGACUUAAAAUUAUUUUCCAUUUCACCUUUAUGAAAUCCAAAACCUUCCCUUUUUGGUUGGCAAAGCGAGAGAGACCUUCAAAAGACCUGGAGUUGAAUAUGGGAAUUUGAUAGUUUCCAUUGUGGCUACCAUUUUUAAUACACAAGUAUAUCAGCACUGAUGUUGCCUGCAACUUCAUAACUAGUUUGUUUUUGGCACUGAUCACGAAUAUUAAUUAUAACACUUAAUUAGUAUAAACGAAAAGAAUAUGGUAUUUUGUAUUUAUAUUUAGAUUGCAAUAUUAAUUAAAUUUAUAUUCUAUUCUUAAAUUCAAAUAUAAACUAAGAGGAAUUUUAUUGGAGUAACAUAGCACUUGUAAAAGUGAGAAUUUAGUAAGACAUUUGAAGAGUGUUGUGUAAUUUGCAACGCUAGAAAGCAAUCAAAUUAAAGCUAAAAGGAAUUUAAAGGGACCAAAGAUGAAAUUUAACCAAAAGGGAAACGCUAGAAGGAGGGCUUGAACCUCCGACCUUGUGGUUAACAGCCACACGCUCUAGCCAACUGAGCUAUUCCAGCUUCAGGAUAAACCCUGAUAGUUGUAAUACACUCAAACUUCUUAUACUCUUUGUAUAUUUGAAGUUUAAUCUCUAUACUUUUAUUUUUAGAGAUUUAGUCUCUCUACCUUUCAAAUCUAAAAAUUUAAUUUUAUUUGUUGACACUGUUAAAAUUAUUCUAUUAAAUUUGUUGGCGUGAUAUGUGAAUUUAAAAAAAAAUAAUUCACUUGAUAUACAUGUAAUAGAACUUGACAUUGUAAUGGACUUGAAUUUUGUAGUUGGAUAAAAGAGAAAUAUUGACUCCAAUUUAAGGAAAAGUAAUGAUUUCCAAAUAAUUUUAUUAGAAUUCUAAUCUAACAAAACUAAUUUAUAUAAUAUACACAAACUAAUUCUAAUAUAACACGACUUUCAACAAUGAAUUAAUUUUUAAAUAUACGUGGAUUGUCAUAUGAAUGACACCUUAGUAAUUAAUUAAUUUUUAAAAAUAUAAAAAUAAAAGUAAAAAUAUAUAAAAAAUAUUUAAUUGUUGGUGUGACAUACACAUGUACUGUCAUGUGGAUGCCACGUCAACAAAUUUAAUAGACAUUAAUUUUUCUAUCUAUUUUGAGGUGAUUUGAUAAAUAAUGAAAGUUUAAGUAUUAAAAAAGAUGAAAAAUUAAAUGAAGGGCUAAAACAGGCGAGAGGCCGAAAACUUUUUGAUAGAAGAGAGCAGGAAAGCCGUCUUUAUCUAAAGCUUUAAGAGGUUGCAUUGAUUUUACCGCUUACUGUAAAUCUUCUUCUUUAAACGGAGAUGAUAGUUCCUCAUUAAUUUGAUCAGAUAUGCAAGGUUGGAUUUCCUUCCAUAGAUUCUUAUUUUCCUCCAUCUGUUUUGAUGAAAAGAACUCUUUAAAAUACCUAGAUGCUACCUCUAAUAAUUCAUCAUCCCCUUCAACCCAUUUACCUCUUUCGUCUUUAAGUCCCUUUAUCAUAUUUCUUUUUUUUUUUCCGAAAGGAAGCAAAAUUAUGGAAAAAAAAAGUUGAAUUUUUAUCGCCCAUCUUAAGCUAGUUUGCUCUAGCUCGCUGCUCCCAAAAAAUUUCUUCUUUAUCAACCUCCAUAUUCAAUGCAAGCUUAACUUCCAUGAUUUCCAAUAAAUGGUCAUCAUCUGGAUCUUCCAAAUAAAGUUCGGCAAGCUUUUGGUUUAAGUUUUCUCUUCUUCUAAUGCGCCUCCAUUUAUUUAUCUUAUCCCAUUCUUUCAAAGCAUUACUUAAUCUUGUGAGUUUUUUUGGCAAUUCGUCCUGGUUUAAUUCCUAUACUCGUUUUAUUUUCUCUUCAAAACCUUCUUCAAAAAUCCAAUUUGCAUUGAAGCGAAAAGGAGAAUUCCUCAUGUUCUCUCUAUCGUUUUGGCUUCCUAGUGUGUCCAAAUGAAGUGGGUAGUGAUCCAAGAAGAUAUGGGUUAAAUAUCUCAUUGAAUAUCCUAAAAAACAAUCCCACCAUUCCGGAUUAGCCACUUCUCUAUCCAAUCUUUCUUGUAUAUUAUUUUAAGCUAGACGUCCUCUUUCCCAAAUAAACUAUUGUCCUAAAAAUCCUAGAUCAUUCAAAUUACAUUCUUCAAGUACUUUUUGAAAAGCUUCCAUUUGUCUUUCUUCUCUCUACCUACCCCUUUUUUCUCAAAUGAGAACAUAAUUUCGUUAAAAUCCCUUAUGACUAACCAUGGUAGUUGAUGGUAUUCUUUUAAUCUUUCUCAGCAUAUUCUAUGAUUCCCUCUUAAGAUGUUUAGCUAGGGCCCACAGAAUCCUGUAAACCUCUAUUCUGCCAUUCCAUUAACAUCUCCCACCUCCACGUUAAUACGGGAUUUUGAAAAACUAAUAAGGUUUAUUGAAAUCCCUUGUUUCCAUAUAAGAGAAAGGCCUCUACGUGAUCCUUCUGCACUUAUAUAAAUUCCACUGUCGAAACCACACUUUUUUCGAAUCCUCUCCAUCUUUCUUUCAUUAACUUUUGUUUCUAUAAGGAACAAAGUUGGGGCUGGUGUUGUCUUAAGAAAUUUUUGAGAAAUCUUAUAGUUCGCGAUUGCCCCAACCUGCGAACAUUCCAACUAAGAAUUUUUAUUGUAGCCUGUUGACCUACUUAUUAGCAGCCGUCGAUAAUCUAUUUUUUGGAAUUGUCACCAUGCUACUUGUCUGUGUGUCUUCAAGGAUAGCUAAUCUUUUCCUUUUCUUCCCUUCUAAGAUUGCAAUUGAGUUUUCUUUGUCAUCUUCAAACUCUUCCUCUUCCCUAUUAUUGUUUAUUCUCAUCUGAAAGUCAAUCCACAUCACAUCUCUACUACAACCCUCUAAUACCUCCUUCCCUUUCGAUCGCAUACUUAUUUCUCUCCUUCUCAUUUUAGGUGUCUGGUCGUUCGCUGUAUUCUCUAUGAAUUUGUUUCUUCUUCUUGCCUCUGCACAUACUGUUAACAUUAAUGGGAGACAACAUUAAUGGCAAACAAUACAAAGUGGUGCAAGUUUAGCACCCUAAAGUUGACUUUGAAAGAGUGGAAUGGGAUAAUUUUUUUUUUGGUCAUUGAGAUAAUGGGCUAUUUAUUGUUUGGUCAUUGAACCUCAACUAUAAAUAGGCCUUCUCAUUUCUCAUUUCUCAUUUCAAUCAUCCCAACCAAUCUUUCUCUCUUAGUUUUCUCUCUUCUCCCAUUUGAGAAUUCUUAAGGAAUUCUAUUUGUUUGUAAUAUUUUGGAGAUAAUAAAGUCAUCAUCUGGUGUUAGUGCCCGAGGACGUAGGUAUAAUUUACCGAACCUCGUUAAAACUCUUGUGUUCUUUCUUGUCCUAUUUUUCUUUCAAUAUUUGAGGGUAUAAUAGUAGUAUUUAAUUGUGCUAUUAAAUUACGAUAGAAGGGAUAUUCUGACUAAGGAAAGACUUGGUACUUAAGAGAUCCUUAUGAUCCACCUCUCUUCCCUGGGAAUUGAACUUUGUGUGAUUUUUUAAUACAAUAAUUUACACGCUUCCGACCCUAUUGGAACAACACAUACUUCGCUCUUUACCAUUUUUUUGGGUCUUCUCUUAACCAUCUGCUUUCAUUCUACAUAGAUCUUCUAGGUGAAGCCCUUAUAGAUAGAUCUCAUCCCAAAUUUGUUUCUAGCGCCUCUAUCGUUAAUCUUAGAGGGCAAAAGCUCUCUCCAUACCCUAAUAUUCCGCACAUAAAAUAGAAUAAUGACAAUUUUAAUUUUUAGUAAACAUUAUACUGCUCACCAUAAAAAAAUACAUUUAGAAUUAUAAAAGAUUGAAAUAUUCAAGUUUGAGUUGCAUUUAUAAACAUUUGAUGAUGAGAAUUCAUGAACAUAAGGUAUGGUUUGAGCCUUUGUUGGUGUUAGGAAACAGAAUAAAAAACAAAGCUGAGUCUUGAGCAACAAGCUUCAAUGACUUGCAGCAAAAAAAUGACAAAAGAUUAGGCUGUGAACUUAAGAAAAAAUGCUUGCAAGGAUCAAAAAUCAAAAGAAAGGUUCAAUGGAUAAGCUUUUGUAUGUCUUUGCUCUUGUGUUCGAGUCUUUACGUAAACAAAGUGGUGACAUAUUUUUAUUAUUCUAGAAAUUUUGUUUGAUUUUAUUAUUAAAUUAAAUUUCCUAAAAUCCCCCUCUCCUCCUACUUUUUUUUUCUUCCCUCUCCUUCUUUAUUUUUGUUUCCUAGGGCUUCAUUUCCCCUCUUUUACUCCUCGUUUGGUUAUUUUGUUGGCGCGUCUCAUUACUUCUUUCAACGGUAAGAUUAAUCUUUUAAGCUCUAGGUUGAAAUUUGGUUAAUUGUUGCUCUUUGUUCGUUUUUGCAAAGAAUCUGUUUCCUAUUUAUUUUUCCUCGAUUCCUUUGUUUAUGUGUCAAUUGAUUGUCAUUUUUAGGCGAAGAUCCUGAAAGUAGCAUUCCCUCAAUGCGUUAGUUCGAUAUAUCACUGUUUUGUAUGAAGUGAGUGAGUAAAUUUUUCGAGAUUGGUGUUCUUCAUCGAAAAUUUUGACAUAACUUUGUUGUUUGACUUUUAGAGCAUUCCUUUGGGAAUUAAUUGUUGAAUGGUAUUUGGUUGUUCGUUGUUAGGUCCCGGAGUCAUUCUUGUUGCUUCUAAGUCGAUUCUACUUCAGGUGUGUGAUGAAACCCAUUUUUUUGCAAAUUUUGAAUACUAGAAAACAUUACUCUCGAUGCCACACGGUCGUGUCUCAGGCCGUGUAACUCUCUAUUUUCAAAUUGGAGGCACACGGACAUUUGUCUAGGCCAUGUAAUUCACUAUUUGUAUUUUGGGUUACACAGGCUAGGAACACAGGCGUGUGUUCAGGCCGUGGGUACUCGAUACCCUUUUUGACAUGUAGGGCUGGACAGAGAUGGUGUAUAGCAGAUGACGGUAGGGAAUCUGCAUUCUUUAUCUGUCAUAAUCUGUAUUUGUAACUGAUAUAAUCUGUUCUGCUUUCGUAUCUGAUUCUAAGAACUAUUUAAACUUCGAGAAACUGCAGAUUUAUUUUGCAGUUUUGCUUAAUAAAAAUUAUAAGUUAUACACUAUGUCUAUUGACUCAUUUUGUCUGUUUGACUGAAUUUAAAGUAACUCAUCGACUUGGGCGGGUCGGCGUGGCGAGAGCUCGGUCAUCCUUAUCUAGUAUUUUGCCACUUUAAUUAAACUUAUAUCAUAGUUGUUUUAUCCUGAAUUAUGGAUUUUAAGUUUGGAUUUCUGCGUUGAUUCAAUUAUUUAAACGUUUUUUGACAAUUAAACUUUAAUUAGUCAAUAGUAAGAUUUCUUGAAAUGAUUUGAUGUAGCCUCUCAGGCUUGCGUCUAGAUUAGGUAUGAGGAGUUACAUACUCUCUUAACUUUUGGUAUUUGAAUAUUUAAAGAGAUGAUUUGAUUAUUUGAUUUUGGGACAUAGAGGUAGUGAUAAGCCAGACAUCCCAAAAAUAAUUCCACUUGUCCCAUCUCCAUACAUUUCAAACAUACUAAAAUCGGCAGGCAAGCAUUACAAGACAAUUUACAGCCGCUUCAACAAUUUUUAUAUUUAAUUGGAGGUCAAAAACACAUAAAAAGACAACCAGACAGCUAGUAUUUCAUCCAAUCUUCACAACAUGUCUGUAUGCGUGCAUAUCCUUAGCUUUCCCGAAUCCUUUAAAGCAUAUUCUAUUAUAAAAUCACAAAUUUCCGUUAACAGACAGAUAAAAACCUACAUAACAAAUAAUUAAUUACUUUGGUAUUAAUAUAAAUCGGAUUGUUUGCUUUGUUCAAUACAGAUUUUUAAUCAUUCAAUUCACUCUCACUACUGUUUAAAUGAUAAAUAAAUUAUAUAAGUAUGGAAAUAUACAUGUAACAUUAUUUAAACAAAUCUUUUGUUUAAUUUUGGAUAUUAUUUGUUGCCUAUAAAUACCAUUCCUAUCCUUCAUCUUCCUCUACAAACAUAACAUGGUGUCCUAUCUCUUUCUCUGCCUAUUUCUCUUCUUUCCCCAUCUUUAUGCUUCUUUUUCUUCUUCAGGAUCUCACUCCUGCUCUCACCCUGAAGCUGCUUCACUGAUCCAGUUCAAGAAUUCCUUUUCCAUCACUCAAACAUGGUUUGCUGCUUUGUAUUGCGAUGAGAUUGCUGGCCUUAAAUCUUAUCCCAAGACAAAUUCAUGGAAGGAGGGUACAGAUUGCUGCUCAUGGGAUGGGGUCACUUGUCAUCACCUAAAUGCUCAUGUUAUUGCCCUUGACUUGAGCUGCAGUUGGCUAUAUGGCAACUUCCCUUCCAAUACCACUCUCUUCCUUCUUCCUCACCUUCAAAAACUCAACCUUGCCUACAAUGAUUUUAAUCAUUCCAAAAUUCCAUCUGAG